rnacentral:sRNA from 1 species
ACGGACAAGGAUGUCCGUGGUGAUAAGCAGCAGCGAGAUUUGUGUUAUGCACAAAUCUCGUCGUUGAGAAGCGUACAAGGAGGUGCGCUUCUCGACAGGC